GCGAAUCUCGAAAGCCUGUCCCAGUUCGGACUGGAGUCUGCAACCCGACUCCACGAAGUUGGAUUCGCUAGUAAUCGCGCAUCAGCCAUGGCGCGGUGAAUACGUUCCCGGGCCUUGUACACACCGCCCGUCAAGCCAUGGGAGCCGGGGGCGCCUGAAGUCCGGGACCGCGAGGACCGGCCUAGGGCGAAACUGGUAACUGGGGCUAAGUCGUAACAAGGUACC
rnacentral:rRNA from 1 species